rnacentral:rRNA from 1 species
GUAGGUGAACCUGCGGAAGGAUCAUUAUUGAAUAAAUGUAGAGUUGGUUGUAGCUGGCCCUUUUUUUGGGGGGGCAUGUGCACACCUCCUCUUUCAUCCACAUACCCCUGUGCACUUGUGAGACAGAAGAAGAAUCUCUCCGCCAUUGUUUUUUGGUGGUUUGACUUAUUCUUCUGUCUACUCAACUACAUAAACUCAUUUAUUUUAAAACUGAAUGUAAUUGAUGUAACACAUCUAAUACUAAGUUUCAACAACGGAUCUCUUGGCUCUCGCAUCGAUGAAGAACGCAGCGAAAUGCGAUAAGUAAUGUGAAUUGCAGAAUUCAGUGAAUCAUCGAAUCUUUGAACGCACCUUGCGCUCCUUGGUAUUCCUUGGAGCAUGCCUGUUUGAGUAUCAUGAAAUUCUCAAAGUAAAUCUUUUGUUAAUUCAAUCGGCUUGCUUUGGUCUUGGAGGUUUUAUUGCAGGGGGGGUUUCACUCCUUGCUCCUCUUUGUAUAUUAGCUGGAUCUCAGUGUUAUGCUUGGUUUCACUCGGCGUGAUAAGUUAUCACUCGCUGAGUACACUGUAACAGGUGGCCAAGGUAAACAUAGAUGAGCCGCUUCUUAAUGGUCCAUUGACUUGGACGAUUAUUUUUAUGAUCUGAUCUCAAAUCA